rnacentral:rRNA from 1 species
AUUCCAGCACCAAUAGCGUAUAUUAAUGCUGCUGCUGUUAAAAAGCUCGUAGUUGGAUCAAGAGUCGGACAGUGCACGGUGGCCCUGUUUGUCAUAGUGGUUCCGAUCACUGUGACGGCAGCGGAUCAACCCCGUGCGCCAAACUGUCCGCUCUAACAGACCGAAACGGUUCCCUGUGAGUAGGCUCCUUAAUUGGGGCUGAAAGCGCUUACGCAUCAACCAUAUGCAUACGGGACGUCGGUCAAUGUUACUGUGAACAAACCAGCGUGUCCAAAACAGGCUUUCGCCUGAAUGUUCGAGCAUGGAAUAACAAGGGAUCGAUUCUCUCGGUUCUUUUUGUUGGUUUUUAACCCGAGAAGGAGUAAUUCAGUCCACGGUGUCUGAGUUGGGUUUCCCUUCACCUCGGUGGAGGCCCCAAUUAGGCCGUGUACUUACGGGAUAAAUAGGGACUGACGGGGUCGUACGUACUUCCACGUCAGAGGUGAAAUUCUUAGAUCGUGGGAAGACGAACUUCUGCGAAAGCAUUCGACAAGAAUGUCUUCAUUAAUCAAGAACGAGAGUGUGGGGAUCGAAGAUGAUCAGAUACCGUCGUAGUCCACUACUGUAAACAAUGCCGUCUCAGGAUUGAGAAGUGAACAGAAUGACUUUCACAGCACUAACCCCUGAAACGAGAAAUCAAAGAUUAUGGGUUCAGGGGGGAGUACAUUCGCAAGGCUGAAACUUAAAGGAAUUGACGGAAUGACACCACAAGGCGUGGAGUAUGCGGCUUAAUUUGACUCAACACGGGGAAUUUUACUAGGUCAGGACAAUGUAAGGAUUGACAGAUUGAGAGCUCUUUCUCGAUCCAUUGUGUGGUGGUGCAUGGCCGCUCCUGGUUGGUGGAGUGAUUUGUCUGGUUGAUUCCGUUAACGAACGAGAUCUCGACCCUUAAAUAGGUGCCCAUGUCGAUUGUAGUUUCGCCUCCGCUCGCUUGCGAGAUUGGAGCGGGACGAGACUGUGGGAAUACUUCUUAGGGGGACUGUGUGCGUCUCUAGCACGCGGAAGAGCGAGCCAAUA